GUGGGGAAUAUUGGGCAAUGGGCGAAAGCCUGACCCAGCAACGCCGCGUGAGGGAAGAAGGCUUUCGGGUUGUAAACCUCUGUCCUUGGUGACGAAACAAAUGACGGUAGCCAAGGAGGAAGCCCCGGCUAACUACGUGCCAGCAGCCGCGGUAAUACGUAGGGGGCGAGCGUUGUCCGGAAUUACUGGGCGUAAAGGGUGCGUAGGUGGCCUUUUAAGUUGGAUGUGAAAUACCCGGGCUUAACUUGGGGGGUGCAUCCAAAACUGGGAGGCUAGAGUGCAGGAGAGGAAAGCGGAAUUCCUAGUGUAGCGGUGAAAUGCGUAGAUAUUAGGAGGAACACCAGUGGCGAAGGCGGCUUUCUGGACUGUAACUGACACUGAGACACGAAAGCGUGGGGAGCAAACAGGAUUAGAUACCCUAGUAGUCC
rnacentral:rRNA from 1 species